GCCUUCAAGGUGUAAUUGGCAGCACGUUUGACUAGCAAUCGAAGGGUUCUGCGUUCGAAUCUCAGCGAGAACA
rnacentral:tRNA from 1 species